ensembl:lncRNA
AGGAAUCAUGAGACAAAUAGCAAAAAUGCACACAACUUGGGACUAGCCAUUAUAAGGUCAGAGUCACUUUCCCCAACAGUGCCUGUGAGCUGGAGGCGAGCGAAAGCUCGGGGGGGUGGUACCUGUACCAGGGGGAGACAACCAGGACAGACGGUAAACAGAUCGCCAGGUGGAAUCCAAGCAGCAGUGCAGCAGGCAAUGGAACCAGUUCCAGUUACCGGGCUCCUCGGACUUGGAGAGUAGCACCUUGUUAUGCCAUCACUCAAGAGCAACUGAGGUGUCUGAUGUCCUGUGCUUUCAGUGUGUCUCAGAUGGCAGAUCUUCUACAUGUGUCUCGAUUGACAGUCAAAUUGACAGUCGUCUAAGACACUUCAAUCUGUCACAUGCACCGUUAUAUUCUGACAUGUCAGACUUGGCUCUGAAUGAAAAGAUUAAGGACUUGGUGGCUGGGAACGACAAACGUGGACCGGAGGCUGUUCAAUCACAAUUAAGGGCUCUGGGUGCAGAGACGCAGAGUGAGGGACAGCAUGCUUCGUGUUAACCCGAGGGCGGCUGCCCUCAGAGCCAUGUCGCAGAGGCUGCAUAGAAGGUCAUACUGUGUUGCUGGACCAAACUCGUUAGGGCACCUUGAUGGAAACCACAAACUGAUAAGGUAGAUGUAUCUUUGUGAUAGACACAAUGAUCUGUAUCACUGGUGAGAAGUUGUACAUUGUAACAUCUCAAAUUGUUCAUCAACAACUUGUUCUUCAACAACUAACAGUUCAGUAAGCAAUGGCCCUUGAUACCAUAUGUCACUCAUGUGGAUAAUAAUUGUUGGUUUUCAUUGCUUUGUAUUUGUUUUUGUUUCAAUACAAAUUUAACUAGAUUGGGUCUGCUGUAUGGUCGGGUUUCUCCCUAAGGGUUAGCCCUCCAUCUACCUGACCCCAUAACUCUGAGUUGUGGUCACCAGUAUGAUAAGGGAGUAUAAGCCAAUUUGGAAAUGGUGUCAACAGUGUGUUGGUAUGCUCUUUGACAUUUGUCUGAGGAAUUUUGUAAAAAUAAAAUUGGGAAAAUAA